GCCGGGAUAGCUCAGUUGGUAGAGCAGGGGACUGAAAAUCCUCGUGU
rnacentral:tRNA from 82 species